rnacentral:rRNA from 1 species
AAAUGAAUAGACGGGGACCCGCACAAGCGGUGGAGCAUGUGGUUUAAUUCGAAGCAACGCGAAGAACCUUACCAAAACUUGACAUCCCAAUGCCCGCUUCUUAAUCGAAGCCUUCCAGGUUUACCUGGACAUUGGUGACAGGUGGUGCAUGGUUGUCGUCAGCUCGUGUCGUGAGAUGUUGGGUUAAGUCCCGUAACGAGCGCAACCCUUAUCUUUAGUAGCCAGCAUUUAAGAUGGGCACUCUAGAGAGACUGCCAGGGAUAACCUGGAGGAAGGCGGGGACGACGUCAAAUCAUCAUGCCCCUUAUGUUUUGGGCUACACACGUGCUACAAUGGCUGCUACAAAGGGAAGCAAAUGGGCGACCAUACGCAAACCUCAAAAAAGCAGUCCCAGUUCGGAUUGUAGUCUGCAACUCGACUACAUGAAGUUGGAAUCGCUAGUAAUCGUGGAUCAGAAUGCCACGGUGAAUACGUUCCCGGGUCUUGUACACACCGCCCGU